rnacentral:rRNA from 1 species
CGAAAGCCUGACGGAGCAACGCCGCGUGAGGGAUGAAGGCCUCUGGGCUGUAAACCUCUUUUCUCAAGGAAGAAGAUCUGACGGUACUUGAGGAAUAAGCCACGGCUAAUUCCGUGCCAGCAGCCGCGGUAAUACGGGAGUGGCAAGCGUUAUCCGGAAUCAUUGGGCGUAAAGCGUCCGCAGGCGGCCUUGAAAGUCUGUCGUUAAAGCGUGGAGCUUAACUCCAUUUCAGCGAUGGAAACUACAAGGCUUGAGUGUGGUAGGGGCAGAGGGAAUUCCCGGUGUAGCGGUGAAAUGCGCAGAUAUCGGGAAGAACACCAGAGGCGAAGGCGCUCUGCUGGGCCAUAACUGACGCUCAUGGACGAAAGCCAGGGGAGCG